GCAGCUGCUGGUUCAGUUUCUUGCUCAAGGACACUUUGGCUGGGAUGGAACCACCAACCGUGCAGUCAGAGGACAACUGCUGCAGCACCUGAGCCACAGCCGCCCUUCACCUACACUGACCAUGAUUUAAUGUUGACAGGCAAUAAAAGUGGAAAACUCUCCAGGAGGGUGAAUAGUUUUGCAGGCGCAGCAAAAUACAGCCUCAGAAUGCAGCUUUCUUCAGCUGGUACGACGCCACAGACCACAGGAGAAAGACAGGAACGACUUGUUGUCAUGCUGCUUCCUGUUAUUAAAGAAGUCCACCGCCUUGUCAGAGCCCUCUUGGAAGACAGAAUAUGAUUCAACCAGCAGCAUCGACAGAAGUCAGGAGUGUCGAGAUGGACUCAAAGUGGAAGAACUGGGAUCUGUCCAGAAGAACUCUCAGAGAAGCUGCAAGAAAACGAGAAGUUGUUUUUUUUUAUUGUGAAUGCACAAAGGAACGACCUGGAAACUUUGGCGGAUGUGCAGCAGCUCUGCAGGUCUUCUACAGAUUGAGUUGUUUCAUUGAUUGGGAACAAGUAAAAGUCCGUCUGUUUGAGGCUGCUGGGAAGUUAUUUCCAUAGUAGCCCAUCGACGGGCAACUAUAGAGUCA